rnacentral:rRNA from 1 species
UACGAGGGGGCGAGCGUUGUUCGGAAUUAUUGGGCGUAAAGGGUGCGUAGGCGGGUCUUUAAGUCAGGGGUGAAAUCCUGGAGCUCAACUCCAGAACUGCCUUUGAUACUGAGGAUCUUGAGUUCGGAGAGGUGAGUGGAACUGCGAGUGUAGAGGUGAAAUUCGUAGAUAUUCGCAAGAACACCAGUGGCGAAGGCGGCUCACUGGCCCGAUACUGACGCUGAGGCACGAAAGCGUGGGAGCAACAGG